rnacentral:rRNA from 1 species
UACGAAGGGGGCUAGCGUUGCUCGGAAUCACUGGGCGUAAAGCGCACGUAGGCGGAUCUUUAAGUCAGGGGUGAAAUCCCAAGGCUCAACCUUGGAACUGCCUUUGAUACUGGGGAUCUCGAGUCCGGAGGAGGUUGGUGGAACUGCGAGUGUAGAGGUGAAAUUCGUAGAUAUUCGCAAGAACACCAGUGGCGAAGGCGGCCAACUGGUCCGGUACUGACGCUGAGGUGCGAAAGCGUGGGGAGCAAACAGG